rnacentral:rRNA from 1 species
UACGGAGGAUCCGAGCGUUAUCCGGAUUUAUUGGGUUUAAAGGGUGCGUAGGUGGCGCUGUAAGUCGGGUGUGAAAUUUCGGAGCUUAACUCCGAAACUGCAUUCGAUACUGCGGUGCUUGAGGUCUGGAGAGGAGACUGGAAUUCAUGGUGUAGCAGUGAAAUGCGUAGAGAUCAUGAGGAAGACCAGUGGCGAAGGCGGGUCUCUGGACAGUUCCUGACACUGAGGCACGAAGGCCAGGGGAGCAAACGGG